GUUACUGUAGCUCAGUGGUUAGAGCACUCGCCUGACAAGCGAGAGUACUGGGUUUGAUUCCCAGCAGAGCGAAACC